GUAUAGUUCUUCGGAAUUAGAGACCGGCGCACGGGUGCGCUAACGCGUAUGCAAUCUACCUUUUGCAGAGGGAUAGCCCAGAGAAAUUUGGAUUAAUACCUCAUAGAUAUAGCAGUUUCGCAUGAAACCACAUAUUAAAGUCACAACGGCAAAAGAUGAGCAUGCGUCCCAUUAGCUAGUUGGUAAGGUAACGGCUUACCAAGGCUACGAUGGGUAGGGGUCCUGAGAGGGAGAUCCCCCACACUGGUACUGAGACACGGACCAGACUCCUACGGGAGGCAGCAGUGAGGAAUAUUGGACAAUGGGCGCAAGCCUGAUCCAGCCAUGCCGCGUGCAGGAUGACGGUCCUAUGGAUUGUAAACUGCUUUUGUACAGGAAGAAACACUCCCUCGUGAGGGAGCUUGACGGUACUGUAAGAAUAAGGAUCGGCUAACUCCGUGCCAGCAGCCGCGGUAAUACGGAGGAUCCAAGCGUUAUCCGGAAUCAUUGGGUUUAAAGGGUCCGUAGGCGGUUUAGUAAGUCAGUGGUGAAAGCCCAUCGCUCAACGGUGGAACGGCCAUUGAUACUGCUAGACUUGAAUUAUUAGGAAGUAACUAGAAUAUGUAGUGUAGCGGUGAAAUGCUUAGAGAUUACAUGGAAUACCAAUUGCGAAGGCAGGUUACUACUAAUGGAUUGACGCUGAUGGACGAAAGCGUGGGUAGCGAACAGGAUUAGAUACCCUGGUAGUCCACGCCGUAAACGAUGGAUACUAGCUGUUGGGAGCAAUCUCAGUGGCUAAGCGAAGUGAUAAGUAUCCCNCCUGGGGAGUACGUNCGCAAGAAUGAAACUCAAGGAAUNGACGGGGCCCNCNCAAGCGG
rnacentral:rRNA from 1 species